GGUUCAUGUGCAUUCAACAAUAUUUUUCUAUAUGAAAAUAUUCAAAACUGUAACCUGUCACCAUGACAUUACAUUUUUUUCCAUCCCUUCUCUUAGUAGACUGAGUUUAUAUUUUGUAUUACCUGUAUUGCUGCAGUUAUUUGAGGUAGAAACUAUUAAUAUAGGCAACGUUUUUCACCCUGUAUGUUAUCUGGCCCAAGAGAAAAUGGAGAUACCUUUUAUUGGGCCGACAUAGUUCUCUCCUCUCCAUCUGAAGAAGAAACCUCUGAGGUCUCAAGAGCCCAAUAAAAAGAAUUACCAUCCACUAAUGACUCCCUUUGGCUGAUGGCAAGAAGCAUACACAAAAACACAAUUACACAAUGAUAUGUAUAAGGGAAGGCUUGGGACAUUUACAGGGUAGUUACCCGACACGUCUAUAGACUACAGGCCAGUCUUUGAGUAUCUAAAACUGCAUUAACUAUAAGCGAGCUGCAUUUAGAAUUUAUAGGUGACUGGUGGCAUCUUUAUGGCAGGGCAAAAGGCGUAGCGGGUCAUCUGCAUGAUAAGCUUGUGCGUUCUUUCUAAUUACUCAAUUAUUGAUCUAAGAUGGACAGAGUAGAUGAGAAGGCAUUUUUAGAGAAAGGAAAAGGGGGACUAGAACUGAGGAAAACGAAGAAA